rnacentral:tRNA from 1 species
GCCGACGUAGCUCAGCUGGCAGAGCGGCUGUUUUGUAAACAGCGGGUCGCCGGUUCGAAUCCGGCCGUCGGCUCCA